CUGUGGUACACAUCUUUACUGGCCUGGAAAUUGUCACACUCUUUGGUUGUGUUGCUUGAUGGAAGAUGUGCCGCUGAACUUGAACUCUUGGAAGGCUCCUUCUUCUUCUGCUUGUGGUCAUGCUGGAGAGACAGCAGUUGCGUCUGAUCUUUGGGGAGAGUUCGAUGCCCCUUCUUGUUGUGCUGCACGUCUUCCACCUUUUUCUGUUUCUUUUCUGAUUUCCUCUGCCCAUCUGCUAUGAACCGUUCAUCAUCUUCCACAGCCCUUUUGUCUUCCUUACAUCUCUCCUCUCUCCUCUGAACAUCGUUAGCCUCAGUCCACCUCUGAUCACACUCCUGUUGCCUUCGGAGCUCUUGCUCUCGCCUCUGAUGAUCCUCCAGCCUCCUCCUCUGCUCUUUCUGCUGCUCGAUGCGUUUCUGCCGCUCUGUCAGCAGCUGCUUCUUGUAUUUCUCCUGGUCCUUCAGCUGCUGCUGCUGGCGCUGAGGGUCAGAACGGUUUUUGUUCUCCUGCUGCAGCCUCAGAAACUCACGACGGAGAGUUGACUCCCCAGGGAGAUUAACUAUGGAGCUUGGUUCUCCUUCAUCUUCAUUCAGCUCAUCAUCUUCCUCUUCACUUCCACUGUAAUCAUAGUCCGUUUCUUCUUUUUCUCCUUUCUUCUUCCUGGUCCUAUCCAGGUGGUCUUUCA
rnacentral:lncRNA from 1 species